UACGCCUGUUACAUAGCCUCAGAACAGGAUUUGCCGUACUUCAGGUUCUUUACCAAAGUACAGUAAAUAUUCAAUUAGUCUGUCCAAUAGUCAGUUUCUUUUAAUAGCUGUGAAUAAAAAUGAAAAUAAAGCAUGCAUGAGCUUGAGGAAUCAAACUGAUGAGAUACACAUUUUCUAAUGAUUGCAGUUUCACUACUAGUGUGUGUAGAUAAAUAGGUUGUGUAUAGGCUAGUGACGUACUUUUAUAAAUACAUUUUCUGCUUCUCUCUGUUUUUUUAAAUUACAUUUAUCACAAAAUGCUUCUGCACACCACCUCUUGGCCAAAUCUCAAGUUUUAUUGCUGUUGACAUUUUAAUUUAAGACUUUCACCUUUGGUUUUGGUCUCAUCUAUAACUACACCCCCAUGCGUGACACACUGGACAAUAGUGUCUACCUGGGCAUACAUGAAAGCAUUCUUUUACCACUUAAAAUUUGUAUUCCGUUGUAGCAACAAGGUAAAGCCAACAAUAGCGGAAGGUAUGCUAAUACAGCUGUGAAAAACGCUGCUCACUGAACACUGAAAUAAACCAUUUUAAUGCGUUUAAAUAAUACCUCAAAGAUUUGUUAUUUGUGCACAAAGAUCUAAUUUCUCUGAGAUUUUGCCCACAAAUUUGUUUAUAUCACUGUUAGCUAGCAUUUCUCCUUUGUCAAGAUAAUCCAUCUCCUGCACAGGUGUGGCAUAUCAAGAUGCUGAUUAAAAGCCAUGAUCACUACACAGGUGUUCCUUAUGAUGGGGUCAAUAAAAGGCCACCCUAAAACGUUGAGUUUUUUGUUGUUCAACACCAUCUUACAGAUGCCUCAAGAGUUAAGAAAUCAUGCAGUUGGCAUGCUGACUGCAGGUAUGUCCUGUAGAGCUGUUGCCAGAGUAAUGGGUGUUCAUUUCUCCACCAUAAACCGCCUCCAGCGUUGUUUCAGAGAUUUUGGAAGUUCGUCCAACAGGCCUCACGACCGCAGACCACGUGUAACUACGCCAGACCAGGACCGCCACAUCCGGCGUCUUUACCUGCGGGAUCGUCUGAGGCCAGCUAAACGGACAGCCGAUGAAACAGUUGGUUUACACAACCGUAGAAUUUCUGCACAAACUGUCAGAAAUCGCCUCUGGGAAGCUCAUCUGCGUGCUCAACGUCCUCACCGAGGUCUUGAUUUUUCUGCAGUUCGGUGUCACUAUCGACGUGAGUGGGCGAGAGCUCACCUUUGAUGGCCACUGGCACACUGGAGAAUGGUCCCCUUCACUGAUGAAUCACGGUUUCAGCUGUCUGGGCAGAUGGCAGGCAGCGUGUAUGGUGUCGGGUGGGUGAGCGGUUUGCUGAUGUCAACGUUGUGAACAGAGUGGCCCAUGGUGGUGCUGGGGUGUUGGUAUGAGCAAGCAUAUCCUAUGGGCAGAGAAUUCAAGUGCAUUUUAUCCAUGGCAAUUUGAAUACACAGAGAUAUUGUGAUGAGAUCCUGAGGCCCAUUGCUGCCAUUCAUUCACCACCAUCACCUCAUGUUUCAGCAUGACAAUGCGUGGCCCCAUGUUGCAAGGAUCUGUACACAAUUCCUUGAAGCUGAAAAUGUAACAGUUCUUCCAUGGCCUGUAUACUCACCAGACAUUCACCCAUUGAGCAUGUUUGGGAUGCUCUGGACCGGCACAUACGAGUGCGUGUUCCAUUUCCCACCAAUAUCCAACAACUUUGUUCAACUAUUGAAGAGGAGUGGGAUAAUAAUCCCACAGGCUACAGUCAACAAUUUCAUCAAUUCAAUGCAAAGGAGAUGUGUUGCGUUGCAUGAGGCAAAUGGUGGUCACACAGGAUACUGAUUGGUAUUCUGUUCAUGGUAUCUUCUUUUUUGGGGAAUCUGUGACUAACAAAUGCAUAUCUGUAUCCCCAAUCACAUGAAAUCAAUAGAUAAGUGCUUAAUGAAUAUAUUUCACUUGACUGAUUUACGUUUAUUACCUUUGAACUCAAUAAAAAUUGAUAAGAGUUGCAUUUAUAUUUUUGUUCAGUGUAAACAAAAAUGCCCUGACUUUGUAUAAUAGGCUAUAAAGUAAAAAACUGAACUGUUACCAUAUUAACUAUACUACGCUAACCAGAGCAGUUGGUAAGCUAUUCUUGGAUAACGCUUUGCGCUCUGCAUAACACAAAUCCAGCAUUCGGCCAUUAUGCACUUUUUUCAGUUUCGGCUGAAGCAGGCAUGAUGUUGUAUAGUAGGGGUGUCCAAACUACGGCCCACGGGCCAUCGGUGGCUCACCGCCAUUAUUGAAAUGGCCCGCAAGUUAUUUUACAAAUAAAAUCUAAUUUGGCCCACUAUUAAGAAAUAAAAAAAAUGAUGUUCCUAGUUUUCAUACUGGGUUUCGCUAACACGUAAAACCGCAUCUAAGAAUGGAUCAUCUCCCCCUCCUUUUUCCCCUCUUCAAAACUUUAAUUCUGUACAGUGUACAUUAAUGUUAGCAAGCUUAUAGCUAGAAAUGGCAGCACCAAGGAACUGAAAAACAGAAAGCGAAUGCAGGAGAUUUCAGCCACGCUGGCAAAAA